CCCCCUACGGGGGGCAGCAGUGGGGAAUAUUGCACAAUGGGGGAAACCCUGAUGCAGCGACGCCGCGUGAAGGAAGAAGUAUUUCGGUAUGUAAACUUCUAUCAGCAGGGAAGAAAGUGACGGUACCUGACUAAGAAGCCCCGGCUAACUACGUGCCAGCAGCCGCGGUAAUACGUAGGGGGCAAGCGUUAUCCGGAUUUACUGGGUGUAAAGGGAGCGUAGACGGCUGAGCAAGUCAGAAGUGAAAGCCCGGGGCUCAACCCCGGGACUGCUUUUGAAACUGCG
rnacentral:rRNA from 1 species